UAGGAAAUGGGCUGACAUGAGGAAGGGAUCCUGUGGAGAGGGUUGGGGGAGAUGGCACCCGCUGUGAACGCAAGAGGAACCGAGUUCAAAUCCAGUGCCCACCAAACCACUGGCACAGUCCUGGAAGACACAUUAAACCUCCAGCCAUAUGUCUGGCUGCCCCUUUCAAAAGGCUGCCGUGCAUUUGUUGUGGCUUGGGAAUUAGAGAAUGAAAUUGGACCGUUCCUUAAAAAGGUAAGUUCAUGAGUUGAGGAGAUGGCUCAGUGGACCCUAACUUUAGAUCCCCGGCAGCCACAUAAAAAGCUGGUCAUAGUAGCACACACCUGUAGCCUUAGUGCUAUUGUGGUCAAGACGGCUUCCAGGAGCUCAGUGGCCAAGCCAGUCUAGCUAAUCAGUGAGCUCCGGCUUCCGUGAGAGACCCUGGCUUAAGAAAUAAGGUGAAAAAGCAACAGAGGAGGACAACCAACGUUUACCUUGGGCCUCCACAUGUGCACACACAUGCCAGGCACACACACACACACACACACACACACACACACACACACACACACACACACGAACGUAUAUUCUUCCACGUGUAUACGAAGUAAAAUUGUGGCUUUUCCGUGUCUGUUCCUUGGUACAUACCACGGUAUGUAUUGAUUCCUGCAACAGUGCAUUUUCUUUAUGUGAUUUUUAAAGGUCACUAGUGGCAAACUGAUGAAAA